rnacentral:rRNA from 1 species
UACAGGGGGGUGCAAACGUUGCUCGGAAUCAUUGGGCGUAAAGCGCACGUAGGCGGUUCGUUAUGUCGGAUGUGAAAGCCCUUGGCUUAACCGAGGAAGUGCAUCCGAAACUGGCGAGCUAGAGUACGAAAGAGGAUCGCGGAAUUCCCGGUGUAGAGGUGAAAUUCGUAGAUAUUGGGAGGAACACCGGUGGCGAAGGCGGCGAUCUGGGUCGAUACUGACGCUGAGGUGCGAAAGCGUGGGGAGCAAACAGG